CAACGUAGGUAAUCUACCUUUGGGUGGGGAAUAACAAUCGGAAACGAUUGCUAAUACCGCAUAAUGCAGCGGCACCUAAUGGUGACAGUUGUUAAAGCGGGGGAUCGAAAGACCUCGCGUCUAAAGAGGAGCCUGCGGCGGAUUAGCUAGUUGGUAAGGUAAUGGCUUACCAAGGCUACGAUCCGUAACCGGCCUGAGAGGGCGGCCGGUCACACUGACACUGACAUACGGGUCAG
rnacentral:rRNA from 1 species